CUUCCCAGGAAGCUCCAAAUAACUUAGUAUAAGCUUGAAACUUGGUAGGAGGGGGAUCUAUUUUGGCUAUUCAGAUGCUGCUUAGUUUAAGACCUAAUUAAUGGAGAACGAGGAGGUAAAGAAAUGAGGAUUGAUGCUUUUCCUUUUCCCUUCCAGCUGAGCUUCCCAUCCUAGCACUUGAGUUUUCAGAAAGGGCAGAAGGCCAAACACAUGGAAAGCUCCAGGCAGCCCAGCAGGAGGAGAGACGUGUCUCAAUUGCAAGAGUAUAUAUGGCCUAAGCUCCAGUUGGGAACUCUGUAUACACAUUGAGGAGUUUACUGCAUAUACAAAAGUAUGUAUUUAUUAAAUUAUUUUUUCACUUAGUGGUAUCUUGUCAUUUUCUCAUGUCAUUAAAA
rnacentral:lncRNA from 12 species